UACGGGGGGGGCAAGCGUUGUUCGGAAUUACUGGGCGUAAAGGGCGUCUAGGCGGAUAGGUAAGUGGGAUGUGAAAUCCCUCGGCUCACCCGAGGACCUGCACCCCAAACUGCCUGUCUUGAGUAUGGGAGAGGAUGAGGGAAUUCCUGGUGUAGCGGUGAAAUGCGUAGAUAUCAGGAGGAACACUGGUGGCGAAGGCGCCUAUCUGGCCCGAUACUGACGCUGAGGCGCGAAAGCUAGGGGAGCAAACGGG
rnacentral:rRNA from 1 species